AACCCUGCUUCAGCUGUGGGGCCACAGAAGGCAGGACUCAGGGAUGGUCUCCACCAUGGCCUGGUCCCCUCUCCUGCUCACCCUCCUGGCUCACUGCACAGUGUCCUGGGCCCAGUCUGUGGUGACUCAGCCACCUUCUGUGUCUGGGUACCCAGGACAGACCCUCACCAUCUCCUGCACUGGAAGCAGCUCCAACAUCGGGGGUUAUGAUGUGCACUGGUACCAACAGCUCCCAGGAAAGGCCCCCAAACUCCUCAUCUCUGGUAAUAGCAAACUAGCCUCAGGGGUCCCUUACCGAUUCUCUGGCUCCAAGUCUGGCAGCUCAGCCUCCAUGAGCAUCACUGGGCUCCAGGCUGAGGACGAGGCUGAUUAUUACUGCCAGGCCUAUGAUACCAAUGUCAAUGGGCGCACAGUGCUGCAGGCCUGUGGGGAAGUGAGACAAGAACCCCUGGGUCAUCUGGGAGCUGGGUGAACACUGCAGCCGCUGCAGCUCAGCCUCAGCCUGAGUCCUGUGACUUCUGCUCAUUCUCUGGCUGAUGUUUUUGGCCCGGGUUCCCCCAGGGACACUGUCUGGGAUUGCAGGAUGGUUCUUUCCCUCCUGUCCUCACAGUCACUCACAGCAGCACUGUCCCAGACUGAGUGUCCUAAAUGAAAC